UCUCUGAUGUCAUUCUGCUACUCUCUCUUCCAUGCGCAAGCUUCACUUUUUGGGAGAACAGGUACUCCGACUCCGACGAAUACCAAUUGAUCUCUCGCUUCUAAUAACAUCCUUCUACUUUCUACCAGUGAUCUCGGAUUUACCGAUUCUUCCGAAAAUCUCGUCUUUAUCCUCCGUAAAUCUUUUUCCUCCUUGAAAUCUCUCCUUGAUUCCUCCGGAGUUCCUCUCUUCUCCACCUCCCGUAUCUGUUAUCAACAUAGGUUCCAUCGUUGAAGCUGAUUAUAAAGAUGCGUGGGUGACUGGUUUUUUGGUCAAAGAGAUUGAUGAUGAGAAGUGUUUGAGGUUCUCACUUUCAGAAAUCAUGUACCAUUUACAGGUAAGAUUCCAUUGCUUGGCUCUCUUAACUCGUCUUCCUCAUUCGUUUAGAUUCAACAAUCACUGAGGAAUGGAACUCUUUGUCUAACGCUAAUUUCUAAAGAUACCGAUAACAUGGGAAGAUGGACGUGGAUAGAUGAAGAAGAAUGGAGAGCUUCUCCCUUCAUCUCUCAAAGUCAAACAGUCAUUUCUUUCAACAAUAUAUGGAGAGCUUCUCCCUUCAUCUCUCAAUACAUAGAUUGUGCAUAAAACAAAUAUGUAGCUUUGGACCAAAAACACUGUCUUUUAUCGCUUUUAUUUGAUAACCAAAACAAGCUUCUUCUGUUGCUUAUGUCUUUUAUCACAUUGGUACCAGAAAAAAAAGAAAAAUCUCG